ensembl:miRNA Mir6994 microRNA 6994
CUGUCACAAAGGUGGGUGAAGCCGGUGACGAUUGCUAGUUCUUCUGUGUCAACGAUCUUCUCCGUCUUUGCAG